UGAGGAAUCUUGCGCAAUGGGCGAAAGCCUGACGCAGCCACGCCGCGUGCCGGAUGAAGGCCCUAUGGGUUGUAAACGGCUUUUAAGCAGGAAGAACGUACGAGUUUCGAUUCGUAGUGACGGUACUGCUUGAAUAAGCACCGGCUAACUCCGUGCCAGCAGCCGCGGUAAUACGGAGGGUGCAAGCGUUGUCCGGAAUCAUUGGGUGUAAAGGGUGCGUAGGCGGGCGUCUAAGUCUGGGGUGAAAUCUUGCCGCUUAACGGUAAAAUUGCCUUGGAUACUGGGCGUCUUGAGUGUAGAAGAGGUAAGUGGAAUUCGUAGUGUAGCGGUGAAAUGCAUAGAUAUUACGAAGAACAUCAGUGGCGAAGGCGGCUUACUGGUCUACAACUGACGCUGAGGCACGAAAGCGUGGGGAGCGAACAGGAUUAGAUACCCUGGUAGUCCACGCUGUAAACGAUGCAUACUAGGUGUUGGUCCUUCGGGGCCAGUGCUGCAGUUAACGCAUUAAGUAUGCCACCUGGGGAGUACGUCGGCAAC
rnacentral:rRNA from 1 species